rnacentral:rRNA from 1 species
UCUACGGGAGGCUGCAGUGGGGAAUAUUGGACAAUGGGCGAAAGCCUGAUCCAGCCAUGCCGCGUGUGUGAAGAAGGCCUUCGGGUUGUAAAGCACUUUCAGUGGGGAAGAAAGCCUUGGGGCUAAUACCCUCGAGGAAGGACAUCACCCACAGAAGAAGCACCGGCUAACUCCGUGCCAGCAGCCGCGGUAUACGGAGGGUGCGAGCGUUAAUCGGAAUUACUGGGCGUAAAGCGCGCGUAGGCGGUCUGAUAAGCCGGUUGUGAAAGCCCCGGGCUCAACCUGGGAACGGCAUCCGGAACUGUCAGGCUAGAGUGCAGGAGAGGAAGGUAGAAUUCCCGGUGUAGCGGUGAAAUGCGUAGAGAUCGGGAGGAAUACCAGUGGCGAAGGCGGCCUUCUGGACUGACACUGACGCUGAGGUGCGAAAGCGUGGGUAGCAAACAGGAUUAGAUACCCGGGUAGUC